AAAGUCGUAACAAGGUUUCCGUAGGUGAACCUGCGGAAGGAUCAUUAUCGUAGGGCUUCGGCCCUGUCGAGAUAGAACCCUUGCCUUUUUGAGUACCUUUCGUUUCCUCGGCAGGCUCGCCUGCCAAUGGGGACCACAAAAAAACACUUUGCAGUACCUGUAAUAGUCUGAACAAACAAAACAAAAAUCAAAACUUUCAACAACGGAUCUCUUGGUUCUG
rnacentral:misc_RNA from 1 species